AUACGAAGGGGGCUAGCGUUGCUCGGAAUUACUGGGCGUAAAGGGAGCGUAGGCGGACAUUUAAGUCAGGGGUGAAAUCCCAGAGCUCAACUCUGGAACUGCCUUUGAUACUGGAUGUCUUGAGUGUGAGAGAGGUAUGUGGAACUCCGAGUGUAGAGGUGAAAUUCGUAGAUAUUCGGAAGAACACCAGUGGCGAAGGCGACAUACUGGCUCAUUACUGACGCUGAGGCUCGAAAGCGUGGGGAGCAAACAGGAUUAGAUACCCUGGUAGUCCACGCCGUAAACGAUGAUUGCUAGUUGUCGGGAUGUUUACACCUCGGUGACGCAGCUAACGCAUUAAGCAAUCCGCCUGGGGAGUACGGUCGCAAGAUUAAA
rnacentral:rRNA from 1 species